CAAUAGCGUAUAUUAAAGUUGUUGCGGUUAAAAAGCUCGUAGUUGGAUUUCUGUCGAAGACGGUCGGUCCGCUCUAUGAGCGUGUAUCUGAUUCGGCUUUGGCAUCCUCGUGGGGAACGUAACUGUGCUUGAUUGCAUGGUGCGGAAUUCACGACUUUUACUUUGAGGAAAUUAGAGUGUUCACGGCAGGCAAGCGCCUUGAAUACAUUAGCAUGGAAUAAUAAUAUAGGACUUUGGUUCUAUUUUGUUGGUUUCUAGGACUAAAGUAAUGAUUAAUAGGGACGAGUUGGGGGCGAUUCAUAUUCCAAUGUCAGAGGUGAAAUUACUUGGAUUAUCGGAAGAUGAACUUCUGCGAAAGCAUCUGCCAAGGAUGUUUUCAUUGAUCAAGAACGAAAGUUAGGGAUCGAAGACGAUCAGAUACCGU
rnacentral:rRNA from 1 species